GACGAACGCUGGCGGCGUGCCUAAUACAUGCAAGUUGAGCGAUGAAGCUUGGUGCUUGCACCAAUUUGAAGAGCAGCGAACGGGUGAGUAACGCGUGGGGAAUCUGCCUUUGAGCGGGGGACAACAUUUGGAAACGAAUGCUAAUACCGCAUAACAACUUUAAACAUAAGUUUUAAGUUUGAAAGAUGCAAUUGCAUCACUCAAAGAUGAUCCCGCGUUGUAUUAGCUAGUUGGUGAGGUAAAGGCUCACCAAGGCGAUGAUACAUAGCCGACCUGGGAGGGGGGUAGGCCAAAUGGGGGCUUGGACACGGCCCAAGGUACUACGGGAGGCAGCAGUAGGGAAUGUGCGGCAAUGGAGGAAAGUCUGGCCGAGCAACGCCGAGUGAGAGAAGGAGGUUUUCGGAUCGUAAAGCUCUGUUGGUAGAGAAGAACGUUGGUGGGAGUGGAAAGCUCAUCAAGUGACGGUACCUACCCAGAAAGGGACGGCUAACUACGUG
rnacentral:rRNA from 1 species